AGAACGAACGCUGGCGGCAUGCCUAACACAUGCAAGUCGAACGGGACCUUCGGGUCUAGUGGCGCACGGGUGCGUAACGCGUGGGGAUCUGCCCUUAGGUACGGAAUAACUCAGGGAAACUUGAGCUAAUACCGUAUAAUGACUUCGGUCCAAAGAUUUAUCGCCUAGGGAUGAACCCGCGUAGGAUUAGCUUGUUGGUGAGGUAAAGGCUCACCAAGGCGACGAUCCUUAGCUGGUCUGAGAGGAUGAUCAGCCACACUGGGACUGAGACACGGCCCAGACUCCUACGGGAGGCAGCAGUGGGGAAUAUUGGACAAUGGGCGAAAGCCUGAUCCAGCAAUGCCGCGUGAGUGAUGAAGGCCUUAGGGUGUAAAGCUCUUUUACCCGGGAUGAUAAUGACAGUACCGGAGAAUAAGCUCCGGCUAACUCCGCGCCAGCAGCCGC
rnacentral:rRNA from 1 species